AGUGAACGCUGGCGGUAGGCCUAACACAUGCAAGUCGAACGGCAGCACAGUAAGAGCUUGCUCUUACGGGUGGCGAGUGGCGGACGGGUGAGGAAUACAUCGGAAUCUACUUUUUCGUGGGGGAUAACGUAGGGAAACUUACGCUAAUACCGCAUACGACCUACGGGUGAAAGCAGGGGAUCUUCGGACCUUGCGCGAUUGAAUGAGCCGAUGUCGGAUUAGCUAGUUGGCGGGGUAAAGGCCCACCAAGGCGACGAUCCGUAGCUAGUCUGAGAGGAUGAUCAGCCACACUGGAACUGAGACACGGUCCAGACUCCGACGGGAGGCAGCAGUGGGGAAUAUUGGACAAUGGGCGCAAGCCUGAUCCAGCCAUACCGCGUGGGUGAAGAAGGCCUUCGGGUUGUAAAGCCCUUUUGUUGGGAAGGAAAAGCAGCAGGUUAAUACCCCGCUGUUCUGACGGUACCCAAAGAAUAAGCACCGGCUAACUUCGU
rnacentral:rRNA from 1 species